UCUUCCACACAAAAGAACUGUGCUAAAAUUGCAGAAUCCUUUUUGGUUUCCGCAAUAGUGCUAGCAGAGUAACAUGUGGAAGGAGAGAAAGCACUCGCCCUGUACCGCAAAUGAAAUUUGGUCGGACCUCUUUCUUAAUGUCCCUUGGCUUAAGUUUCAAGGUCCAGCGCAACAUUC